UUUCUUUGAGUCACACGCUACGUGUAAAAUUUAUGUGACACGUGAGUGUUGAAAUUUUAAUUAUUGGUCAACAUUUAUUUCACCGAAAUUUUGAUGUCUACAAAGUUGAGGCCAAUAAAAAAAAUCAACAACUAAGUCAAUUGUCAUUAAAACUACGAUCUAGUAAUAUUAGGUAUUUCUCUUUAUUUAUAACUACUAAAAUGCAUAUCUGGUUAUAUAAUCUUGAAUCCAAGCAUGAAACUAAAUCUGGAAUUAUGUUCGAGUUGUUUGCUAUGGGUGUUUAUAGCAUCUAUGGUAUAGCUGUGCAACUAAUUAUGAUGAAAGGUUAGUUUACUUGAUCAUUAGAAUGAUCUAGUUCUAGCUUCCUUCUGUUUUUGUUACUUGAUCAUUAGAUGAUACAUAUCAUGAUAUCUAUUUCCAUUAUUGAAUUAUUAGAAACCAUCAUUUCAACUUGUAUCAUGAUAUGUAUGUGGUUUUCUUCAAUUUAACUUCUUGUUUCUACUUCUACAUGUCUAGGAGGUUUUACUUUAGGGAGUUUUAACGAAAAGAGCCUAGCAUUAUUCAUUCUUAAUCAAAAUGACAUUUUGUGUAUGAAAAGCCCAUGACGGAUCAAGCCCUUUUCUUUAUUUACUCUUAUGCCAUUAUUUUAUUAUUUUAGCGGGGUCCACAAUGAUCUUGACAUUUCUUUCUAGAAAUACACUAUUUUACAUUAUGUUAUUCAACUUAUGCUAAUUUGCCGACAGCUCUUCAUGUUUCCAUCAUGUUGUCGAUGUUAUGCAGCUCUUCUUCUGUCAAAUUGUUCCAAUACUGCUAUCGCUUUCUACUAGCUCUGCAUCUCUUUCUCUAUCUUCUUUCACCUUGUAGUACAUUUCUGUUAUUUCUUCUUUGAAAUUUUGAGGCUUCCAAUAGGGCUGAUGACUGAUCCUUGUCUUAUUGUAAAUAUACAUUUCUUCUUCUUCGGCUACUAAUAUCAUAUCAUACCUAAAAUCUUCAAACUCAUAUAAGGCUAACAUUUAGAUCCCUUGAAAUUUUAGAAUAUUUUUGCAUGAAGGAGUCCACCUAUGUAAGGAGAUAGGGGAUAGUCUAAAGGACUCUUCAUUAAUCAUGGCUCUAUGUCUAGCUUUCUACUUAUGCAUAUGUACAUACCAAUGUGGAGGACUACUAAUAAAACUUAUGCAAAUUUCUUUCCACUUUUCCAGACAAUCUUCUGCUACUUUCAUAAGUUUUUUAGAGAAAUGAUU
rnacentral:lncRNA from 1 species